rnacentral:rRNA from 1 species
GACGAACGCUGGCGGCGUGCCUAAUACAUGCAAGUUGAGCGCUGACGGUUGGUACUUGUCCCCACUGGAUGAGCAGCGAACGGGUGAGUAACGCGUGGGGAAUCUGCCUUUGAGCGGGGGACAACAUUUGGAAACGAAUGCUAAUACCGCAUAAAACCUUUAAACACAAGUUUUAAGUUUGAAAGAUGCAAUUGCAUCACUCAAAGAUGAUCCCGCGUUGUAUUAGCUAGUUGGUGAGGUAAAGGCUCACCAAGGCGAUGAUACAUAGCCGACCUGAGAGGGUGGUCGGCCACAUUGGGACUGAGACACGGCCCAAACUCCUACGGGAGGCAGCAGUAGGGAAUCUUCGGCAAUGGACGAAAGUCUGACCGAGCAACGACGGGGGAGGGAAGAAGGGUGUCGGAUCGGAAAACUCGGUUGGUAGAGAAGAACGUUGGUGAGAGUGGAAAGCUCAUCAAGUGACGGUAACUACCCAGAAAGGGACGGCUAACUACGUG